CAGAAUUCUCUAUUUUCAUCAUCGUUGUGUAAUGACAGCCCCACAAUUCCUUAAGCUUAGCUGCCUUUGUCUUAAUGGAAUCAAUUUCAUCUGCUACUAUCUCCAAGUUUUCACAAAAUAUUUUGGCCCUUCAUUUGUAUUUCAUGAAAACUUUCCUGACCAAAUUUUUUGAUGUAUGUGAUUCGAUGAUAUCUUCAGUUUUGUAUGCUGCAUCUCGAAUCUCCCUUUCCAAACAUCAUACUUUCUCGCUUUUUAUCUACCAAGAAUCAUCCAGAAAAUGAAGUAAGAAACUCAACUUUCCCCGAAGAGAUUUUAAUUUGUUGGUCCUGAAGAGGAGUCUGAUGUUGUACUAGAUGAGGAUUUGAUAUCUGCUCCAGAAUCUGAUUGAGAGAUAAUGCAGCAAAAUAAGCCAUCUUUGAUUUCUUCACAGAAUCUGAUUGAGAGAUAAUAACAAGAAAUUGCAGCCCUCCUUAACAAGUGGUGGUGGAUGGAAGGGACGAAGAAUAUUACCAAGAGAAAUCAGGGAUUGAUAUUAUAACACGAAAUUACAGCCCUCAUUAAACAAGUAGUGGUUCUGUGCGGUAAAGUGGAGGAAUUGAGUGCAGGGAAGGGAUGAAGAAGAGUAUAGAGAAAAAAUGGGAAGGGAUGAACACCGAGGCAACGAAUCGCCCGUGAAACAUAAAAAAAUUCAAGAAAGACAAAUCUUACUGGAUUUAGU
rnacentral:lncRNA from 1 species